rnacentral:rRNA from 1 species
AUUGAACGCUGGCGGCAGGCCUAACACAUGCAAGUCGAACGAGUGGCGGACGGGUGAGUAAUGUCUGGGAAACUGGCUGAUGGAGGGGGAUAACUACGGGAAACUGUAGCUAAUACCGCAUACCAUAAGAUGUGCCCAAGUGGGAUUAGGUAGUUGGUGGGGUAAAGGCUCACCAAGGCGACGAUCUCUAGCUGGUCUGAGAGGAUGACCAGCCACACUGGAACUGAGACACGGCCCAGACUCCUACGGGAGGCAGCAGUGGGGAAUAUUGCGCAAUGGGGGCAACCCUGACGCAGCCAUGCCGCGUGAAUGAAGAAGGCCUUCGGGUUGUAAAGUUCUUUCGGUGGCGAGGCGUUACCUGCAGAAGAAGCACCGGCUAACUCCGUGCCAGCAGCCGCGGUAAUAC